rnacentral:rRNA from 1 species
GUGGGGAAUUUUGGACAAUGGGCGCAAGCCUGAUCCAGCAAUGCCGCGUGCAGGAAGAAGGCCUUCGGGUUGUAAACUGCUUUUGUACGGAACGAAACGGUCCGGGUUAAUACCCUGGGCUAAUGACGGUACCGUAAGAAUAAGCACCGGCUAACUACGUGCCAGCAGCCGCGGUAAUACGUAGGGUGCAAGCGUUAAUCGGAAUUACUGGGCGUAAAGCGUGCGCAGGCGGUUAUGUAAGACAGAUGUGAAAUCCCCGGGCUCAACCUGGGAACUGCAUUUGUGACUGCAUAGCUAGAGUACGGCAGAGGGGGAUGGAAUUCCGCGUGUAGCAGUGAAAUGCGUAGAUAUGCGGAGGAACACCGAUGGCGAAGGCAAUCCCCUGGGCCUGUACUGACGCUCAUGCACGAAAGCGUGGGGAGCAAACAGGAUUAGAAACCCGUGUAGUCC